rnacentral:rRNA from 1 species
UACAGAGGUCCCAAGCGUUGUUCGGAUUCACUGGGCGUAAAGGGUGCGUAGGUGGUCGGGUAAGUCUGAUGUGAAAUCUCACAGCUUAACUGUGAAACUGCAUUGGAUACUAUCCGGCUCGAGGAAUGGAGGGGAGACUGGAAUACUUGGUGUAGCAGUGAAAUGCGUAGAUAUCAAGUGGAACACCAGUGGCGAAGGCGAGUCUCUGGACAUUUCCUGACGCUGAGGCACGAAAGCCAGGGGAGCAAACGGG